CUUUUAUCAAGAAUGGUGGAGGGACUGGCCCUAUGAAGCCUAGCAACAGCCAAUAAUCAUAUUGGAAUUGUGCUAAAUCCUGCAAGAAUUUAUUUUUUUGAGAGAUAAAAG
rfam:Clostridium ventriculi strain 2789STDY5834858 genome assembly, contig: SCcontig000004